GCGGGUUGAUGCGAUUACCAUCAGGACUGCUCCUUUAAACAGACCCAGCAUUCUGAAGAGCCUCCAGCCACCCACAUCCAUGUUUGAGGAUGCAGGACUGGUCCUGAGGCAGGUCAGGCAGAGCAAGAACGUUCUGGAAGAAAACCUGGAAAGCAUUCUGACAGCCACAGAUGGAGAGGUGCUUCACACGCAGUUAGAGGCACUGUCGAAAAACUGAGACGUCCGUGAAGAGCAGAGGAUAAAGAAGACAGUUGAUGCCUGGAUCAAUACACUCAGCAAGGAGAUUCAGGAUGAGGAUUGUGGAGAGGAGCGAUGCUGCAGUCUCUAAAGUGGUGCAGCAGGGCCAGGGGAGCAGGAGCGGACGUGUGGCUGGUCCGAGAGGAAGAGGGGGAAGUGAAACCUCUGCAGCAGAUAAGAAAACCUCUCUGAGAGGCUCAGUUAGAGCGCAAGCAGAAAACACACUGGCACACUGCAAACAACCCGCUCUGUCUGUCAGAAGCAGACCUGAAGGGAAGCGAGAGUCGUGAGCUGGAUUAUAUCAGUGUUAUCUAAUGCAGUGCCAAAUGUGUUCAAACGAUGAACAGUAAACUCCUCUGAUGAUCUGUUUCAAUACCUAAUGAGCUGCCUACAUAGACAUCAUACUCCUGACUACUCCAGAUAGUAGGCUGUGAAAUAAGAUACCUCAUUUUGAUCAAAUUCGAAAUUUAUCCACAGCGCUGAUGGAUGGAAGAAAAAAGAAAAAGUCGUGACAUUUGCCAAGUAUGG